rnacentral:rRNA from 1 species
GACGAACGCUGGCGGCGUGCCUAAUACAUGCAAGUAGAACGCUGAAGGAGGAGCUUGCUUCUCUGGAUGAGUUGCGAACGGGUGAGUAACGCGUAGGUAACCUGCCUGGUAGCGGGGGAUAACUAUUGGAAACGAUAGCUAAUACCGCAUAACAGUAGAUAUCGCAUGAUAGCUGCUUGAAAGGUGCAAUUGCACCACUACCAGAUGGACCUGCGUUGUAUUAGCUAGUUGGUGAGGUAACGGCUCACCAAGGCGACGAUACAUAGCCGACCUGAGAGGGUGAUCGGCCACACUGGGACUGAGACACGGCCCAGACUCCUACGGGAGGCAGCAGUAGGGAAUCUUCGGCAAUGGACGGAAGUCUGACCGAGCAACGCCGCGUGAGUGAAGAAGGUUUUCGGAUCGUAAAGCUCUGUUGUAAGAGAAGAACGAGUGUGAGAGUGGAAAGUUCACACUGUGACGGUAUCUUACCAGAAAGGGACGGCUAACUACGUGCCAGCAGCCGCGGUAAUACGUAGGUCCCGAGCGUUGUCCGGAUUUAUUGGGCGUAAAGCGAGCGCAGGCGGUUAGAUAAGUCUGAAGUUAAAGGCUGUGGCUUAACCAUAAUACGCUUUGGAAACUGUUUAACUUGAGUGCAAGAGGGGAGAGUGGAAUUCCAUGUGUAGCGGUGAAAUGCGUAGAUAUAUGGAGGAACACCGGUGGCGAAAGCGGCUCUCUGGCUUGUAACUGACGCUGAGGCUCGAAAGCGUGGGGAGCAAACAGG